rnacentral:rRNA from 1 species
CAGCGCCACGGUAACACAGAGGGUGCGAGCGUUAAUCGGAUUUACUGGGCGUAAAGCGUGCGUAGGCGGCUUCUUAAGUCGGAUGUGAAAUCCCUGAGCUUAACUUAGGAAUUGCAUUCGAUACUGGGAAGCUAGAGUAUGGGAGAGGAUGGUAGAAUUCCAGGUGUAGCGGUGAAAUGCGUAGAGAUCUGGAGGAAUACCGAUGGCGAAGGCAGCCAUCUGGCCUAAUACUGACGCUGAGGUACGAAAGCAUGGGGAGCAAACAGGAUUAGAUACCCCUGUAGUCCCUGUCUCUUAUACC